CAGAAUAGCGCUUCCCCUGCAGAACGGCCUGUCUCCGCGUUCCUGCCGUCAGCCUCUCUGGGAAGUUAUGUGACUUAGCACGCUAAUCUCCGGCUAAAUCAAAGAUCAAUUUCACCCUUCCAAUGAAGCCUAAAGGUCCACCCGUACGCAGGGAGGGUUCUCCCCCUGUGACCUCCACCAUGUCGCUGCAAAACUGCCAACGUCUCGACCGAUGUCUGCACACUGCAAAAACCGAAGAAUAAGUCCAUCUCAACAAACCCAGUUCCUCGUUUUCCCCUCAUUGUGGUGAGAGGAUGCAGACGGGAGCAGAGGGAUGGGAGCAGACAGCGUUUCCGCUCUGCAAGUGGCCAUCAGCCCUUCCCUCGGCGAGGACAGCGGUCUGUUCCAGAGAGUUCCGGAGAGUUCCGCACAGUUUCGCGGGCGGAAGCCACUCCGGGGCCUUUUAUUGUUCCUGUGUAAGACAGAGGGGGGUUUCUUCUUCGUUUGUUUAAAAACUCAGAGACACGUUGACAGCAGGUGCUCCCGUUCGAGUGUACACAUAAAUACAACAAUUUCAAAGGAAAAUAAGUGCUAGUCAGUCAAAUAAAUAAAGAAUUAAGAUUCAAAAGGAAACAGCAAACCAAUUUAUAGUUGUGACUUUAAAGGCAAAUUAAAUAAAGAAGAAUGAAUAAAAAGAAAUAAAUUAAAUUAAAAUGGUUUGAAACAUUUUAACAGAUUAACUUCAGA